CAGCACUCUCACCCAUCACACACAGCACUCUCUCACACAUUACACACAGCACUCUCUCACACAUCACACACAGCACUCUCUCACACAUCACACACAGCACUCUCACACCCAUCACACACAGCACUCUCUCACCCAUCACACACAGCACUCUCACCCAUCACACACAGCACUCUCUCACACAUUACACACAGCACUCUCUCACACAGCACUCUCUCACCCAUCACACACAGCACUCUCACACCCAUCACACACAGUACUCUCUCACAC